AGGCAGAUUGUCUGCAGCACAGGCGCUCUGCAAAAAUCUCCUCAGCGCUCCGACGGGUUCACCCCCACUGCCUUCAGCUGUGUUGGGAGCUCGAGCACAGAUGAGUGAACAGCAUUUUAAGUACCAUGUUUAUUCAACGUGCUCUAAGCAGGGUUAGAUAAUACGAUAUUUAUAAAGCCCAAUUCUCUGUACACUUGAGGGUUGCCCACCUCACUAACACUGAUGCAGCUGAGCUGAUAUUAGCGAUGGUGAGGGGUGGCUGUAAAUUUUGCCUCAUGUAGACAAGACGGACAAGGUAAGCGGGCAGACCCUCGCUGCAGCCGCGUGCCGAGGAACGGAACCUUUUAUUUGCUGUCAUAGUGAUGACUUUUAAUUGUCCCAAUAAACAAGCUUUUAAAAAGCUUCUAAAAUGUUCUCUAAUAACACACUUUGGUCUUUAGCCAUAGAAAUGCAGAAAUAAUUAGAAGUGCCAUUGUGUACAGUGCCUUCUGGACUGGGCUGAAGGUGAAGGAGAAAGUAUCAUGCUAUCCUUGUCAGCUGCAAGGGUAAUUACUGCUGGCUGAAAUUACUCAACAUUUGUUUAUAAGCUCCCCAGAGCAUGCUGUAAAUAGAUUGUCUGUUAUAGUCCAAUCACAUUAAAACGCUGCUCCUUGCAAACUGCUACCUCCUGUUUUCUGUAAGCCAGGCAGAGAAAGCCUGCUGCUCACUUAUUGAGCACCAAACACUGAAGAGCUAUGUUUAAUGUGAUUGUUUUCAUUAGCUCUUCUCUGGCUGAUAUUGCAUUCAUUGCUGGGCUUGAAAACCAGUGUGUUGCGUUGCUUUCAUUUGUUGUAGUGAGAAUGAAUAUCUUUAUUUCUGGAGGGUGUAUGCAACAGUUGAUGGGAAUUUUGGAACAGAACAAGCAUGGGAAUAUCUACAGACACUCGUUCUCCUCCUGGGCAAUGGUGUUUUUCUAUUUGCCUUUUAAAUGCUUCUGUACUUGUUCCAGUAGUGGUCACAUUGCCUAAAUUGUCCUUUGAAGGAUGAGAAGUAUUUUCAUAAAAGGUUAGAAAGAAUGUAUUUUCCUUAGCACUGAAUUUUGCAGUACAGCAUUGUCCUGUCCAUUAUGACCUGAGUUCUAUGAAAUAGUGAUGCAGCCACAGCCUGUCUGUUUGAUUUGCUCUCAGCAUGAUUUACCACAUCAUAUCACAACAGCCCAGGUAUUUCCAAUAAAUAUGGGGCCAAAUUCAUCGCUGACAUAUGCAGACGCAAUUCCAUUGCUAUCGAUAGAGUUGCAUUUGCUCCCAUCAAGGUGAAUCUGGCCACUAAACUGAAGAUUUAGGGGAAAGAAGUGGAAUUUUGAAAAAAAAAAAAAAAAAGCAAAACCCAAAAAACAAUCCUCUCUACACCACCACCACUGUAUAUUAACAAAAAAAUAAAGGCAGUACAGAUCCAUUACCGGGGCAGAAAUUUGUAACCUCUGUUUCAUGAGUAAUUCAUGAGAACACACACAAAGGGUAUUUCAACAGCGCUCAUUUUUAUUUACCACUGAUUACUCCCCCAAAUCAGUACUGAUUAUAUAUAGAAUGAAGUGUGGCCCCAUCAUGUCGCAUUUACUUGAAAAGGCUAGCAACAGCAAACUGCUCUGCCUGCACCCAUAGCUGGGAAAAAGUCUGGACAUUAGGGAAAUUUAAGCAGAUUUUCUUUAAACCCUGAUACUGCCCUGGCGUAAAUUCUCACGGAAGACAUUGCAGCCACGACAACUUACACCAGCUAUUGAGCUUCCCGGGAAAUAAUGCAACAAAGCAGCAACGUUAGUGACCACUAGACAAUUACUAAGGGAACACAGAUAAUUGGAAGAAAAUAAAUGACCUGGAUAGAAUAGCAAGUAUAAAAUGAAGUGCAGGCAAAAUCACUGUGCUGGAUACUUUCCAGCAUCCCCUGUCCCAAGUGCCUUUCUUCCAAAUUUUAAGAUCUGCAUCAAGCUUCUGUUCUAUGCAAACCAGCCAGGAAAGGAUUAGAACUGAGAUCUGGAUAUCCACGUUUUCUUCUAACUGGAAUCAUUGCCUGUGGAAAACUGUUCUUCUGGGAAAGAUGCUGGAGUGCUAGAAAUGAUGAUUCAAUUGCCCAUUAAGAUAAUUCCUGGAAGUACUACUUUCUUGAGGCUGUGCUUCCAGGAAUGGCAAUCACGGCAUCACUUCUCUGACAGUGCGAUAGGUAUCUCCAGAAGUGGACGCAGCAGGUGAAUAUUUCCAGUUACUGCAAGCAAUACACCACAGGUUAGAUCUCCUGGUUAUCUUUAUUUGCAAAAGCUAACUAAUGCAGCAUAUUGCAAUGCUUUGAUGAUAAAUUACACCAAUUGUUUUGCAAUAAACUGAAGCUCUUCUGCAAUCCAGGUAACAUUUUUUAUGUUCCUAUUACUGCUUUUUGUGCUAUUAGAGAAGCAGUGAAUCUUUAAAGAGAAACUUCCUACAGCUAAAAAAGACAUUAAGGGGGAAAAAAGCUGGGAGCCAUAGUGACAGGUACAACUAAGGCUGUAUCCUUCGGUUCCCUGGAAACCAGUCAAACACUAUCUCAUCUUGCAAUGGUUGCGUCUGAUCCUCCGCUUCAGACAUCUUCCUAAUAAUGGCAACUACAGAGGUGACUCUCUGCAAAUAAGGGCUUACAGCAACUGGACAUCCAUCAUAUAUCUCCAGAGCAACAUUAGACCACUCUAAUGGGUACUCCCGUCUUCAUUAUGAUAUUAAUUCUCUAAAUUUCCAAAGUGAUUUCAUUUGUAAAAUGACAAAGGCUGGCUGCUCAGGAGACAAACUGUUUUCAUCCCCCUCCUGCAUGCUUACAAAGGCUUGCUCUCUUUAGUCUUUGGGGGAAAAGAAAUUUGAUAGCAUCAGAUCUCUUGUGAUACACAAGGCUGCCUAACAGCUACACCACCUGCCAGCACUGCAUGCCUGCCCAUCCAGCCUGAAGAUUUCUAAAGCAAUGGUUGAUGAGGAGAACAUGGAGGCUGGUUUGGGAGGGGGCUGGGGGGAAGCUAUGCAGAGAGAAAAUAGAGGCUGUAUAAAAUACUCAGUGUGAAAGUGAGGCAGGAUUGAGGGUAAGGGUGAGGUCAGAGCCAAGGCUGGAAGCUGAAUCAAUCUGAACAAGGCUGGUUUGGUUAGAUUAGGUAAAAGCAUGAUUUUCUCCCUGGUGAAUCAAAGCCAUUGCUGUGGCUACAAAUUCACUGUCAGCCAACCAAAGCAAACACUGCACAAAGAAUCAAUUUUUUUGCGUAGCUCCUGUACUCCAAACUCUUUAGGGUUAAAUAAAAUAGAGAUUAAAUUAAAAAGGAAAUCAGUAAACCUGUGACAUCUCCAAUGCUCGCCCCAAAUAGCAACUAACUAAAAUGUCUGAAUGAACAAUAGUGAGGAAAUUAGGAGGUUCUUCCAAGGGCAGCAAUAAUUGUAACCUGACUGGUGAAUGAAUUUGGAAGCAAUCGAAACAAAACAGCGUUUAAUGUACUGAAAAGUCUAGAAGACACCAAUCUCAUUAGGCUUUAUCCUGCUUUAACAGAGUACCCAAAUGGCAUCCUGAAGUUUGCAUACUGCUGGCUUUCCUUUCAUUUACACUCCUCGUCUUUCUGUCGGCAGAGCUGGGUGCACGUGGGCAGUGGUACGAGGGGAGCCUGUGCCAGAGCUCUGCUCCCUCUUCCUGGGAAGACAGCCUUAGGCAAGAAGAUCGGUGCCGCUUGCUCCUAUUCAUGGAGAAGACAUUCUCGGUGUGCAUUGAACUUUGCCUUUUCUGAAAGAGGUGCUAAACUACUGCUCCUUUCCAUCUUUAGGAGUACAUUCACAAACGACAGUCUGCUUUAAGGACACUGGAGUGUAGAAUUAUACUGGGCUGCUUCUUCUACGAUCUUCUUUAUCUUUUGGGUCAGCAACAUCACUAAUUGGCACUUGACAGCACACUUCCAGAUACUCCUUGUGAAUCUCAUAGUGUGACUGAUGGUUGAUAAAGAGAAGAAUUCGCGGAUCCAUUUUAGUCCAUCAAAAACUAGAUGCUGCAUAGCGUGUACCACAUCUGGCAAUUGAUAGCACCAUGUUUGUUAAGGUUAUCUGAUUGGAAGAGCUGCAAGCAAUGAAUAACGCAGCAAAGCUGCAUGUGAUAACAUCCCCACAGUGAAACUGCAUCUGCUGACAGCUUCAUGCUUGCCAUUUUAAUAUUCUGGACGUUGUAAGUGGAAAGUGCAAAGAAAUGCUCCCAAUUUCCUGAAUGCACUUGCCAGACAAAGAUACCCCACAAUGCAUUUGAUACAUUCUUUUUUAUCCUGCUACUUUUUCAAGUCAUUUUUUGCAUUCUAAAAUGGUAGGAUUUUUUUUUUUUCUGAUGCCUGAAUGUAUUUGAGGUAUGGGUUUGUUUUGCAGUAGAACUACUGCAACUUUUCUGUUGAUGCCCAGAGAGGAACAAUUCAAAAUCUGUGCCUUUUUUUUUUUUUUUUAUAGGUCUAAAAUAGUUAUUUUUCUAUAUACUUUAUAAACUAAUCAUUUCAAGACUUCGCUGAACACACAAAAAAACAGUAACCCUGCUUUUUUAAUAUUCUCAAAAUAUAAAAGACACUUUCCGAGAACAGAAGAGCUCUCCAUCCUCCAGCAUAAGAAAUCAAGUAGAAGAGGCAGGAAACUGGCAUGGCUGAGCAAGAACCUGCUAGUCAAACUGAGGGAUAUGAAGGACCAGAGGAGAGCCAUCAUGAUGAUCAGAAGGCUAAAGCACCUCUGAUAUGAAGAAAGGUUGAUGGAGCUGGGUUUGUUUAGCUUGGAUGAGAGAAGGCUCAGGGGAGACCUGAUUGCUGCCUUCCAGUGCUUGAGGGAAGCUUAUAAACAGGAGGG